ensembl:snRNA U6 U6 spliceosomal RNA
UCUGUUUGACAGGACACAUUAAAGUUGGAGUAAUACAUAGAUUAGGAUAGCUUCUACACAAGAUGAAAUGUAAAUCUGUAAGGUGUUUCAUUUUUUU